rnacentral:rRNA from 1 species
GUGGAGGGCGCAGCUGAUCCAGCCAUGCCGCGGUGAGUGAGAAGGCCUUAGGGUUGUAAAACUCUUUCGCCGGUGAAGAUAAUGACGGUAACCGGAGAAGAAGCCCCGGCUAACUUCGUGCCAGCAGCCGCGGUAAUACGACAGCAGCCGCGGUAAUACGAAA